rnacentral:lncRNA from 1 species
UUUUGUAAUGCUGAUGGAGGAGGACCAUCUAUUUGAGUCUGCCUCUGGUCCACUUCAGAAAAGGGCAGCAGGCAGACCUCCAAAGAGCACUGAAGCAAACGAACACUUGAACAAAAACACUGUUUCAGGCAUCAGUUCAUCCUGUGGCGCAGAUCUCUUGCUCAUUAUUGACUUGUGAAUGUGAGGCUUCUUCCUGAAACAUGAAGUGAGAGAACAGAAAGACAUUCCACCACUCAGACGUUCUUUUAUCAAUAAAACACGGGAAAGGAAAAGUGUGGGAGUAAAACACAGAGAAGAGGAAGCAGACAGGGACCCCAAAGCACACAGCAAGCCGUCAGUGCCAAAAUCAACAGAUAUCUUCAGCUGCUGGAGUGUAAUUCUGAAUAACACUUUUGAUUUGUUCUGGCAUUGUUAUUGCUUUCUUGCAGAUUGAGUACCAUUACAGGCAUCUUACAGGGAUCAUUAAAGUAACGACUACACCAACGAAAGGUUGUUCAUCAGAAUAAUCAUUAUCAUCAAUAUACUAAAAAGUGAUAAUUGUUUCCUGUGUGUUGCAGCAAUAAUUGAAUUCAAUUAAAUGAACUAAAUAAAAACGACAUCCAGGCAUAUUCAGGAAAUAAUGUUUUUUAAUUAAGAUUUGAUCUAAGAUGUUAAAGGCUUGCACAAUGUAUUACGCAAUUUCACAUCUCUGCAUGUAAACAAGAUUUGGGAUCUGCCUUUCAGGGACAGAUGUUUAAACGCUUGUUUUUAUUUCAUUAUUUCCAUAACGCAGUAAUCUGGUCUAUUGAUCAUCGUUGUGUGCUCUCGGAUUAGCAUAAUCUCACACUUGAGCAAAUACCAUUAUGUGAACUGGAUAAAGAGAGUUAAUCUGGACUCAGUCUUUAUCAACAUGAAGAAUAAUCCAAAUUGAUGAAUUAGUUUCACUCUAAUCAGCAUAAUGGGAAAUUGUUCUUUGUUUCCAACAAAUUUGUUUGACAAAUUUAUUCUGUUAAAUUUCAAAAGAGGUAUGUAAAUUAGUCAAUAGGAAUAUUUGUUGGAUGAUGUUUCAGAACAGCAGUAGCAUAACUGUAUCUAUAUAUGUUAUGAGGAGGCCAGGGCCAGUUGAUAUAUACAUACUUAUAUCACCAGCAUUGAGGAACAUACCCUGAGAAAUAUUCUAUUAUAUAUCAGUGCUACAGUAUUUUGUAUUAGAGUAAAAAAGUCUGACUAGUCUUUCCUAUAUUAGUAAAAAUCAAUAAUAUAUUGGUAUUCCGGUCUUUCCGAUAAUCUUUAUGAUGAUGAGUGUGUGUCCACAGUGCAAAAGAAAACCUUCUGUAUUUGAAUAUGUUAGAAUUUUAAAU